rnacentral:rRNA from 1 species
CUAGUGAUUAGAGUUUGAUCAUGGCUCAGAACGUACGCUGGCGGCACGCCUAAUACAUGCAAGUCGAACGAAGUAGCAAUACUUAGUGGCAGACGGGUGAGUAACAUGUAGGUAUCUUCCCAUUGGUGAGGAAUAACACGAGGAAACUUGUGCUAAUACCUCAUAAGUCUUUACGGAGAAAGCUUUAUGCGCCGAUGGAUGAGCCUGCACUUGAUUAGUUUGUUGGUAGGGUAAUGGCCUACCAAGACAAUGAUCAAUAGCUGAUUUGAGAGGAUGAUCAGCCACAUUGGGACUGAGACACGGCCCAAACUCCUACGGGAGGCAGCAGUAGGGAAUCUUGCACAAUGGGGGAAACCCUGAUGCAGCGAUGCCGCGUGAGUGAAGAAGGCCUUUGGGUUGUAAAGCUCUUUCGUCGGGGAAGAAAAUGACUGUACCCGAAUAAGAAGGUCCGGCUAACUUCGUGCCAGCAGCCGCGGUAAUACGAAGGGGCCUAGCGUAGUUCGGAAUUACUGGGCUUAAAGAGUUCGUAGGUGGUUAAAAAAGUUGGUGGUGAAAUCCCAGAGCUUAACCCUGGAACUGCCAUCAAAACUUUUUAGCUAGAGUAUGAUAGAGGAAAGCAGAAUUUCUAGUGUAGAGGUGAAAUUCGUAGAUAUUAGAAAGAAUACCAAUUGCGAAGGCAGCUUUCUGGAUCAUUACUGACACUGAGGAACGAAAGCAUGGGUAGCGAAGAGGAUUAGAUACCCUCGUAGUCCAUGCCGUAAACGAUGUGUGUUAGACGUUGGAAAUUUAUUUUCUGUGUCGCAGCGAAAGCAAUAAACACACCGCCUGGGGAGUACGACCGCAAGGUUAAAACUCAAAUGAAUUGACGGGGACCCGCACAAGUAGUGGAGCAUGUGGUUUAAUUCGAAGAUACGCGCAGAACCUUACCAACACUUGACAUGUUCGUCGCGACUUUAAGAGAUUAAAGUUUUCGGUUCGGCCGGACGAAACACAGGUGCUGCAUGGCUGUCGUCAGCUCGUGUCGUGAGAUGUUGGGUUAAGUCCCGCAACGAGCGCAACCCUCACUUUUAGUUGCCAUCAUUUAGUUGGGCACUCUGAAAGAACUGCCAGUGAUAAGCUGGAGGAAGGUGGGGAUGACGUCAAGUCCUCAUGGCCCUUACGUGUUGGGCUACACACGCGCUACAAUGGCAUUUACAAUAGGAAGCAAGACGGCGACGUUAAGCAAAUCCUAAAAAAAUGCCUCAGUUCGGAUUGUACUCUGCAACUCGAGUACAUGAAGCUGGAAUUACUAGUAAUCGCGGAUCAGCGCGCCGCGGUGAAUACGUUCCCGGGUCUGUACACACCG